rnacentral:rRNA from 1 species
AAACUUGAGAGUUUGAUCAUGGCUCAGAACGUACGCUGGCGGCACGCCUAACACAUGCAAGUCGAACGAAGUAGCAAUACUUAGUGGCAGACGGGUGAGUAACAUGUAGGUAUCUGCCCUUUGGCCUGGAAUAACACGAGGAAACUUGUGCUAAUACCGGAUAAGUCUUUACGGAGAAAGCUUUAUGCACCAUUGGAUGAGCCUGCACUUGAUUAGUUUGUUGGUGGGGUAAUGGCCUACCAAGACUGUGAUCAAUAGCUGAUUUGAGAGGAUGAUCAGCCACAUUGGGACUGAGACACGGCCCAAACUCCUACGGGAGGCAGCAGUGGGGAAUCUUGCACAAUGGAGGAAACUCUGAUGCAGCGAUGCCGCGUGAGUGAAGAAGGCCCUUGGGUUGUAAAGCUCUUUCGUCGGGGAAGAAAAUGACUGUACCCGAAUAAGAAGGUCCGGCUAACUUCGUGCCAGCAGCCGCGGUAAUACGAAGGGACCUAGCGUAGUUCGGAAUUACUGGGCUUAAAGAGUUCGUAGGUGGUUGAAAAAGUUAGUGGUGAAAUCCCAGAGCUUAACUCUGGAACUGCCAUUAAAACUUUUCAGCUAGAGUAUGAUAGAGGAAAGCAGAAUUUCUAGUGUAGAGGUGAAAUUCGUAGAUAUUAGAAAGAAUACCAAUUGCGAAGGCAGCUUUCUGGAUCAUUACUGACACUGAGGAACGAAAGCAUGGGUAGCGAAGAGGAUUAGAUACCCUCGUAGUCCAUGCCGUAAACGAUGUGUGUUAGACGUUGGAAAUUUAUUUUCAGUGUCGCAGGGAAACCGAUAAACACACCGCCUGGGGAGUACGACCGCAAGGUUAAAACUCAAAUGAAUUGACGGGGACCCGCACAAGUAGUGGAGCAUGUGGUUUAAUUCGAAGAUACGCGCAGAACCUUACCAACACUUGACAUGUUCGUCGCGACUCUAAGAGAUUAGAGUUUUCGGUUCGGCCGGACGAAACACAGGUGCUGCAUGGCUGUCGUCAGCUCGUGUCGUGAGAUGUUGGGUUAAGUCCCGCAACGAGCGCAACCCUCACUUUUAGUUGCCAUCAUUAAGUUGGGCACUCUGAAAGAACUGCCAGUGAUAAGCUGGAGGAAGGUGGGGAUGACGUCAAGUCCUCAUGGCCCUUACGUGUUGGGCUACACACGUGCUACAAUGGUAUCUACAACAGGAAGCAAGACUGCGAAGUUAAGCAAAUCCUUAAAAGAUACCUCAGUUCGGAUUGCACUCUGCAACUCGAGUGCAUGAAGCUGGAAUUACUAGUAAUCGUGGAUCAGCGUGCCACGGUGAAUGCGUUCCCGGGUCUUGUACACACCGCCCGUCACACCAUGGGAGUUGGUUCUACCUUAAGGCAAGGUUUCAAACCCUUGACCACGGUAUAGUCAGCGACUGGGGUGAAGUCGUAACAAGGUAGCCGUAGGGGAACCUGCGGCUGGAUUACCUCCUUU